UUUCCGUAGGUGAACCUGCGGAAGGAUCAUUGCCAAACACGAUCCGAGAGCGACACUUUUUGGGAACCGUAGCACCCUUUCUUAUUGAUUGUACUUGUUAAUGGAAAAGUCGUCAGGGAAACGAGUGAAAACUAUAUUCAUGACCACUUUUUAAACAUGUAUUAUACACAAAAACAUUUUAAUUAUAUUUCUUUACCACUUAUAACAAUGGAUUAUUAAUUGUAAGACAACUUUUAACAAGGGAUAUCUAGGUUCUGGCAUCGUUGAAAAUCGCAUCAG
rnacentral:misc_RNA from 1 species